CUAUGCUAAAGGGGGAGCUAGCGGUGCCCUGUAACCUGCAAUCCGCUACAGCAGGCUUGAAUUCCUUGUUUAGACAUUAAGUUGUUAGAUCCAUGUAGUUAAAAAAGUGAUGAGAGCUGGGUCCCAUGCAUCAGGAAAUCAUAAACCCCGUCAGAUUCGGAAGAAAGCAGCGGUAAGUGAACCUUCCUGAGUGCCCUGGAUCAAUCUAGCUUGAGCCAAUUUAACUACAAAGGCUAGUAGCUUAACUGACAAGACAAGGUGCAUAG
rnacentral:SRP_RNA from 2 species